rnacentral:lncRNA from 1 species
CAGACAUAACAGCUUGGUGAAUAAACAAAUAUUCUAAAGUUUCGAAUGUUACAUUACAUACAAAAAAAAUGAAAUCUAAAUAUUCUAUCAGAAAUACCCAGCUGUCAAAAAAUGCAUCAGCAUGCUGCAAAGAGGCAUGCUGUGACAUUGGUGCUGCUGUUUUUUCUUCUCUAUUCUGGCUAAAAUGACAACAUAAAAGUCUGAAAAAAUGUCUGACCUUUAUAAACUAAGACUGUCGCAGAAAUAGCAACCAGAGUGAGAAGAGCCAGAAAAUGCCUCAUAUCAUGUGGUCUUUAUUAAAAUACCAAAACAUAGGAAAACUUGGAACAGAACAUUUCUAAGACUGAGAACUUGCCUAAGCAUUUUUAUUCUUCUUUAAUUUCUAGUUCACUUGAGUUUACAGAAGGGUUUCAUCUGCUUUUGCAGACUCACUGGACAUCGUGAGGAUGUUUCAAGGCCAACUAUUACCAAGGAAAUUUUAUGAGCAUCUGCAAUAAAAUGUGCACAUAUAAAAGCAAUUUUAAACUACAAAAUGUUUUGCAUGGAAUAUUUUGAUUAGCCAUUGUAGUCAGAUGUCCAGAUAAACCAUCACAAAAACUGAAUUUGUAUUUAAUUUAUCCAGAUGUGAAAAAAGCAGAAUCUCCUUUAUUCCCUUUUUAUUCCCAGGUCUUUUAUCAAGACAUAGCUUGCUAAAAAAUCUUUAUUUAGUCAGGCGCAGUGGCACAUGUUUAUAAUCCCAGAGGAAUUGGAGGCUGAGGCAGAAGGAUUAUAUGUUCAAAGCCAAUCUCAGCAACUUAGUGAGCCCUAAGCAACUUAGUGAGACCCUGUCUCAAAAUAAAAAAUAAAAAUAUCUGGAGACAUGACUCAAUGAUUAAGCACCUCUAGGUUCAAUCCCCUGGUACAAAAGAAAAAAAGAUCUAUUUAUGAAAAAUGUUAUCUCUUAACUUCAUAUUUUUGUUCACUUGUAAUUAUUUAGUAAUUUUCACACUCAAUAAUAAAUUCAAAGUA